AUGACGCUUGAGGCGAUGGGGGCGUGGCCAGAAACCCGGAAGCGGCGUGGCGAUGCGGGGUGGGCCGCCGUGGCGGGUGCUCUUCUUCGGCACCGACGCCUUCGCCGGACGGGCCCUGCGCGCGCUAGGCGGGGCUCGAGAGCCGACCCCAUGCCGAGUAGUGGACCACCUGGAAGUGGUGACCCUGCCGUCCAAACUGCCAAAGGGACUCCCAGUCAAGAACAUCGCAGAGCAGCUCCGGCUCCCCAUUCAUUUGUGGCCCGACAUUGGUCCCUGCGACCACUUUGAUGUCGGCGUCGUGGCAUCCUUUGGGCGCCUGCUCAGCGAGGAGCUCAUCCUGAAGUUCCCAUAUGGCGUUCUGAAUGUCCAUCCCAGCUACCUUCCUCGGUGGCGUGGCCCAGCACCCAUCAUCCACACCGUGCUCCAUGGAGAUCAGACUACCGGGGCAACAAUUAUGCAGAUCAGACCUAAGAGGUUUGACGUAGGCCCCAUUAUUAAGCAGGAAUCUAUUGCUGUCCCAGCCCACUGCUCGGCCAAAGAGUUGGAGUCGAUAUUAUCCAAACUAGGUGCAAAACUGCUCAUCGCUGUUCUCCAAAACUUACCUGAAAGUUUGCAGAACAUGAGAGAGCAACCUAAGGAAGGAGUCACAUUUGCACCCAAAGUCACUGCUGCGAUGAGUUGCAUCCGGUGGGAAGAUCAAACGGCGGAGCAGAUCCUACGGAUGCAUCGUGCCUUGGGCUCCAUGAUGCCCUUACAAACACUCUGGAUGGGGACUGCUGUCAAACUGCUAGAUUUCUUGGAAGUGGAGACAUUACAUGACAUCCAAGAUAGAAUAACAGCAGAAAAGGAAGCCAUCCCAGGAUCAGUGUUCUACCAUAAGCAGUCAGAGACGCUGGUAAUCAGUUGCAAGAAGGUGCUGCUGAAAGGUCCUACUGUCAGGAUGUGAUCGCCCAGCAUCCACACUAGCUGAACUAUUCCCAUCCUGUCAAAAGCCAUUGGGGUGGAGACAGAGGCGGUUCAACCACCAGGCCAACUAGGCAAUUGCCUUUGGCACCAUCUUGUUGGGGGCGCCAUCGAGGCAACUCCUGUCUCCUGCGGCCUGCCUCCGCAAGGACCUAGAAACUUUCUAUUUUAAAGGUUCCAGAGAAGCUAAAUUCUGCAAAAGUUCUCAAGAAGUUGCAUUCUCAGGAAACUAAAUUCUGAAAAUGGAAGAGGAGAUACACUACAGAGAAGCUGAGCAGGCUGGUGGAAAGGUAAUGUAUAUACACGAGUAUAAGCCUAUUUUUUCAGCCCUUUUUUUAAGACUGAAAAAGCCCCCCUCUGCUUAUACUCGUGAGGAUCCUGGUUGGCUUAUAUUUGGGUCAGCUUAUACUCGAGAAUAUAUGGUACAUUUAUUAUUUUUCUCUAUUAUUAUUGGUAUUGUUACAUUUAUUAUUUUUCUCAAAGGUAAGAUCACAAGCGGUGCAGCUACACUGGAGAAUUGAUGCAGUUUGACAUCACUUCAACUGCCAUGGCCCACUGCUAUGAUGAGGCACCAAAUGACAAAAGACUUGGACUGAUGGGUGUUGCAGUCAAACCAUAUCAACCUGAUUGAAAUCAAUGGAGUUUCAGGUGCUUCCUUCCUAUUUCCUGAGUCUUUAUGCCACAGAUAUUAAGGGUAUCAAUACAAAACCUAUCCAAUGCCCAAUGCAUUUAAACAUGAGUUAAGGAUGGCGAAGCUCGGAUUUUGCCGCAUUUGGUCACAAUCUGGAAAGUAGGGAAUGUGGAAAGUAAUGGAAGGGGAGACUUACCUAACUCUUCUCUUCUUUGCGCCGUUCCCCAAGCCCUUGUCCAAAAGGCACUCCUUCUGAACGUUCCCAAACUGCGGGUGCCUUUCCUUAUAUCCUUCGGUUGGAGAACUUGGGAUGUGUGUGUGUGUGGCAUAGAGCCACACAGAUGGAAAACCUGCUCCGGCAGCAAGGAAACCAGAGCUCUCCGGACUCCCUGGAAAAGGAGGGAGCGCAAAUUGAACGUUGUCUCAAGAGUCAGGGAAAGGCUAACGCAGCCAGCAAGGAAAGAGGCAGUGCCCUGAGAACGAUGGUAAAACAGGAAUGUACAGGAACAUACAUGGUCAGUGUCUGAACGGCUGGGAUUUGCAGAGUCUGAAUGUCGCUGAAUGCAUAUCUAAUCAUCAGAGAUGUUUGGGUGUUUUGUUGAAAACUGGACUGCAAGGAGUGAACCCCAGAAUCCACAGCUCUAUGGGAACACAUUGAGAACCUGUGAUAAUCUUUCUCCUAGUUUCAAGCUAUCCUUCAUUUACCUCAUCUAAGAUGUUGCAUAAAUACUACACGCACCCCACCCUUAAGUGAAUGUCCAAAUGUUAGUUAACAUAAUUCUUUCACAAUAGACUGAGAAGACAACCAGAACACAAAAAAUGAUUAGGAAGAGCCACAGGGUAUUUCUUGACACUAAUUAGUUUCAUUUCGGGGAACAUUUCCUCACCUUUAUUGCUGGAUAAGAUACCCUCUGAAUUUGCCAACACCCUGAACACCCUUUUGUUGGCACCCAUUGUAUUGACCAAAACAGAGACAUCAAAACCCAUUUCAACCCAAGAUCUCUUGCCCCACUGCACCUUUCUCCUGGGUGAAAUAAUAAACAGACGGAAGUCUUCAAUCGUAUCAGUGACUGUUUAUAAAUAUUUUCCUCCAAACUUGAAGACCAAUCGGUAACAACAACAGACAGUGCACUCCAGGUAACCAUCAAUCGACACUCGAGCUUGUUUCAAGGUCUUACAAUCAUUUAUGUAUGUUUGCAUUGAGGUAUGUCAAUCUUUGGAGCACACUCUGCUGACAUUCGCUUUGGCCAAGGUGAAAUAAACCUCUGACUUUGCCUUUGA